GAUGAACGCUGGCGGCGUGCUUAACACAUGCAAGUCGAACGAUGAAGCCCAGCUGGCUGGGUGGAUUAGUGGAGAACGGGUGAGUAACACGUGAGUAACCUGCCCUUGACUCUGGGAUAAGCCUGGGAAACUGGGUCUUAUACUGGAUAUGACUUCUCAUCGCAUGGUGGGGGGUGGAAAGAUUUAGUGGUUUUGGAUGGACUCGCGGCCUAUCCGCUUGUUGGUGAGGUAAUGGCUCACCAAGGCGAGGACGGGUAGCCGGCCUGAGAGGGUGACCGGCCACAGUGGGAGUGAGACACGGCCCAGACUCAUGCGGGAGGGAGGAGUGGGAAAUAGUGCACAAUGGGCGCAAGCCUGAUGGAGCGACGCCGCGUGGGGGAUGACGGCCUUCGGGUUGUAAACCUCUUUCAGUAGGGAAGAAGCGAGAGGAACGGUACCGGCAGAAGAAGCGCCGGCUAACUACGU
rnacentral:rRNA from 1 species